UCUACAACCAAUCCACGAAAAGAAAGAAAAACAUCCAAACAUGAGAAAAAAACACAAGCAAAGAAAAAUCCCUAUCUGUGUCACUUGGGGGGGGGGGGGUUACUAGGCUGGUUCAAGGACCUAAGGCUUGGAGGAACUGGAAGGUUGGGAUUGGAGAAGAUUGAGCAUUGUUUGAAGCAUCCCUUCACCCUUUUCCUUUUCUUUUGCUAGCUCAUCUUUCAGGCUGUUCCGCUUAUUUUCAAGUUUAGCAACUCGAGCCUUGAGCCUAGCAAUCUCAGCAUCCUUUGUCCCACACUCUUGAACUAAAGUCGUAAGCUUGCCGUUCACUAGAGUCUUCAAAGAUGAACCAGGUUCAACUAGGGCUACACUGAGGGAUAGCCACAAACCUACAGGGUUUUGACACCAAAAUGGUCCUUGAUGGAAGCCAUCUCGCAUUUCAUCAAGGGAACAUUCAACCUAUCUAGCUAAGGAGUAGCAUGAGCCUUGGAGCCAUUUAUGACCCUGUCCAACAUCUAGACAAUGAAGGCAAGCUAGUUAAUUUUCUUUCCUCUCAUAAGGCAUUCCGGAAGAACCAAGUCCAUGUAGUUAGCUAUAUGCGUCCUCUCAUGUCUGGACAUCAGAGACUUGUUCACAAAUUCAAAUAGCACCUUGUGCUUAGGCUUCAUCUCACGCUUCUGUACAAAUCUUGCCUCUGGCACAUCUUCAGCAGACUUAGUGUCAUAAAAGUUCCUAGUGAUUUGGAGAGCACUAGGAAGAUCAUCUAUACAAGGCCACCUCUGCCUAGUGUAGUCAUCAUAUCCCUCACAUGGUAUGUCCAGAAUUUUCCCCAAUUUAGGUACAUCAAAUUGCACCUUCACUCCCCUAACCACACCGGUGACUACCCCAUUUUCACAGUGGCAUUUGCCAUUAACUCAAUAAGCUCCUUUCUUGUCAGCCUUCCAUCCAAAUGAAGAACCAUGUCCUUCCAACCUUGUGCAGCUAGAGCAUCCACCAACCUAAUCAUGUAUGGCUUCUCCAGGUCUUCCAGAAACCUCCCCUUCAAAAUCUUUCUUCUGCAAAAUAUGGCAAAUCGAUCUUGUUCCUUUUCAGACUCCUCCUCCUCUUCUUCUUCUUCUCCACUCCACUCUUCUUCUUUUUCAGUAACUUCUACUUGUUUUCUCUUCACUGCAGACCUAGUUCUUUUGGCCAAGGGGGGUUUAGGAGAUAGAGAUUUCGAAGACUUCUUUGUAGGAGUCUUGGUUCUUUUUGGUUUGGCAGUGGGAACCUCUAAAGUUGUACUUCUCUUUUAAUGGACCAGUUCCAAUUCCUCCUCCUUUCCUUCAGCAGCCUCAGAACUUUCCACAACCUUUUUUUUCAUAUUUCCUUCUUCUUUUUCUUACUUUUCUCUAAAGCUUUUUGUAGUUUUGCCUCUCUUUGCUUGAACCUGCUCCUUGCAGCUCUUCUUUUUUGUGAAGAAGGAACAACCGACUUGGAAGAUGACACCUUGCUUUUCUUAGAUGGUUUGGAAGGGGUUGGGGUAUUUUGGGAAGAAGCCUUGCACUUCUUUGGAUCAUAACUAGCCCCAACCCUCUUCAAGAUAUCAGCCAAGGUUUCCUCAAUUGAUGAACCAGGUUCAUCUUGCUACUCACUCAGAUGAACAAGGCCUUCAGCAACCUCUCUAUAAGCACUUCCCCCUGACUUGAUGCCACCAUCUUCUACACUACCACAGAUAGCAAGAACUUCUCCUUUCUUUUUCUUUCCCCUUCUACUAGACCCAGUCCCCUUUACAUCUUUUUACAGAUUCCACUAACACAAACAUAUUUUCCUCCCUUUAUACCACGUCAAUAAAGCAAAACAAGUAUUUAAAUCACUUGAGUUUUCUUGAUUCUUGUCAGUGUCAGAAGAUCAUCACUUGCAGAGAGAAAUACCUCAGACUCAAGGCUUGAGUCAAAUUCUUUUUUUGGACUUUUCUUCUUUUGGCUAGCUUUUAAUUUUUCAUUUAAGGCUUUUCCCAAAGGGCCAGAAGCUAAAGUUUUCAUGGCCAACAUUUCUGGCGACGAAACCUAGGUUUUGGGGUUUCAAUAUGAGGUGUGGAGGAUAAAGUAUUAGGAGAUACUGGCGAGGGAGUACCUGGGUUUUCUUGAGGGUUUGUCAUAGUAGAGAAUUUCUGGGGAUUUCUGGAAAUUUUGGAGAUGAAAGAAAUGAUCAG
rnacentral:lncRNA from 1 species